rnacentral:lncRNA from 1 species
CUGCAUAGUUUCAAAGUUGGGUUUGUACAUUUGAAGAAGUCAAACGUUGAGAGUGGGAUUCUUUCUGAUUCCCGUUAAGUUUUAUCGGAGUACAGUCCCGUUAUUCUGCUUUUGGAUCAGUUAAGGUGAAGCUCACUGGACUGUAAGUGGAGAUCUAUGCUCUAGGACCCACUGAUAUUGAUCCGCACGGCUCUUGUGUUUGGAAGGUUGGGCAGC